GACGAACGCUGGCGGCGUGCUUAACACAUGCAAGUCGAACGGAAAGGCCCUGCUUUUGUGGGGUGCUCGAGUGGCGAACGGGUGAGUAACACGUGAGUAACCUGCCCUUGUCUUUGGGAUAACUUCAGGAAACUGGGGCUAAUACCGGAUAGGAGCUCCUGCUGCAUGGUGGGGGUUGGAAAGUUUCGGCGGUUGGGGAUGGACUCGCGGCUUAUCAGCUUGUUGGUGGGGUAGUGGCUUACCAAGGCUUUGACGGGUAGCCGGCCUGAGAGGGUGACCGGCCACAUUGGGACUGAGAUACGGCCCAGACUCCUACGGGAGGCAGCAGUGGGGAAUAUUGCACAAUGGGCGGAAGCCUGAGGCAGCAACGCCGCGUGCGGGAUGACGGCCUUCGGGUUGUAAACCGCUUUCGCCUGUGACGAAGCGUGAGUGACGGUAAUGGGUAAAGAAGCACCGGCUAACUACGUG
rnacentral:rRNA from 1 species